GCCAGAGUCAUAUCUUCAUGCAGUUCUAAACCUGGUUUCCCAUUGAGGCUAAGCAGGGUUGAACUGGGCCAGUACCUGGAUGGGAGACCUCCUGGAGAAAACUAAGGUUGCUGCUGGAA
rnacentral:rRNA from 1 species